AUACGGAGGGGGUUAGCGUUGUUCGGAUUUACUGGGCGUAAAGCGCACGUAGGCGGACUGGAAAGUUGGGGGUGAAAUCCCGGGGCUCAACCUCGGAACUGCCUCCAAAACUUCCAAUCUAGAGAUCGAGAGAGGUGAGUGGAAUUCCAAGUGUAGAGGUGAAAUUCGUAGAUAUUUGGAGGAACACCAGUGGCGAAGGCGGCUCACUGGCUCGAUACUGACGCUGAGGUGCGAAAGCGUGGGGAGCAAACAGGAUUAGAAACCCCAGUAGUCC
rnacentral:rRNA from 1 species